UAAUCAUGUACAUUUAAUAACCAUAAGAAAACCAUGAACAAUUAUAUGCUGAUAAAUUCAACAAGCUACAAGAAAUGGACAACUUUCUAGUGGCACAGAGACCACCAAAAUGGAGUCAAAAAGAAAUGGAUAGUCUGAACAGACCAUCACUAGACAUGAAAAACUAUCUGGAAAAAACAAAACAAUCAAAAACAAAACCCCCCUGACAAACAAAAGUCCAGAACCAGAUGCCUUCACAGGAGAAUUCUACCAAAUAUGUAGAGAAGAAUUUGCAUUACUUUUUCUCAUACGCUGCCAAAAAACUGAUGAGGAGGGAACACCUCCCAAGACAGUCGAUAAACUCACCAUCACCUUGAUACUAAAACCAGACUAGGAUACCACAGAAAAACAAAAUUACAGUGCUCUAAUUUUAAUCUCUUCCAUGUAGGUAUCCAGUUGUCAUAGCACCACUUAUUGAAUAGACAAUCUUUAUUCCACUUUCUGUUCUAGCCUCCUUUGUCAUAGAUUAGUUGACCAUAGGUGUUUGGGUUUAUUUCUAGGCUCUCUAUCCCAUUCCAUUGAUCUCUCUCUCUGGUUUGGUGCCAAUACAAUACAGCUUUGAUAACUGUAGCCUUGUAGUAUACUCAGAAGUCUGGGCACUUGAUUCAUCCAUUUGUCUUUUUCUUUUUCAACAGUGCUUCUGGCAAUUUGAGGUCAUUUGCAUUUUCACACAUGUUUUUAAAUAUUUUGUUCUAAUUCUCUGAAGAAUGUUUCUGGUAAUUUCAUAAGGAUUGCACUGAAUCUGCAGAUUGCCUUGGGUAGUAUCAUCAUUUUGAUCCUAUUGAUGCUUCCAAUCCAAGAGUAUGGUGUCAUCUUCCCAUCUGUUUGUGUCAUCUCGGAGUUCUUUCAUUAGUAUCUUAGUUUUCAGAGUAUAGGUCUUUUGUCUCUUUAGUUAAGCUUCUUCCUAGGUAUUUUAUGCUUUUUGGUGCAAUGGUACAUGGGAUGGUUUCCCUACUUUCUCCUCACAUUUCAUUGUUAGUACAUAAAAAUGCAGUCAAUUUCUAUGACUGAAAACCCAAUGAAGCACUAAGGAAAAUCAACAGAUUAAGUAAAUGAUAAGACAAAUGAUAAUGAAGAUAAAACAAUCCAAAACCUAUUGGGGCACGGCAAAAGCAGCACUUAAAGGGAAGUUUACAGCAAUACAUUAUUAUCUCAGGAAUCAAGAAAAAGCACAUAAACAACCUAAAUUUACACCUAAAACAACUAAGAAGGGACAACAAAGGCCAAAACUGGCAGAAGGAAUAAAAUCAUAAAAGAUCAGAGCAGAGGUGUUCCCAGUGUGGUGAAGCAGAAACAAAUCCAAGUAAGAACCAUGAGGUUGCACGUUGGAUCCCUGGCCUCGAUCAGUGGGUUAAAGAUCCGAUGUUACCAUGAGCGGUGGUGUAAGUCACAUAUGCAGCUCGGAUCUGGGGUUGCUCUGGCUGUGGUGAAGGCCAGCAGCAACAGCUCUGAUUCGACCCCUAGCAUGGGAUCCUCCAUAUACCAGGGAUGUGGCCCUAAAAAAGAUUAAAAAAAAAAAAGGAUUAGAGCAGGAAUCAAGGAAACUGAGACAAAGAAAACAACAGAGAUUGAUGAAACCAAAAGGUGGUUCUUUGAGAGGAUCAACAAAAUUGAUAAACCUUUAGCCAGGUUCAUCAAGAAAUGAGAGAGGGUUCAAAGCAAUAAAAUUAGUAAUGUAAAAGAAGUUUCUACUCACACAACAGGAAUAAAUAGAAUGAUAAGUGACUCCUAUGAGCAAGGACAUGCACAUAAAAUGAACAAAGGGACAAGUUUGCAAGAAAUUCUUACAAAGAUCAACUGACCAAGACUGAAGCAGGAAGAAAUAGAAAAGAUGAACAGACCUUCAUCUUUUCGAAAAUUGAAGAUGUGAUCAAGCCCUAAAAUUGAAGAUGUGAUCAAAAACAUUGAAAAAAACAAAACUCAGAACUUGAUGGCUACACAGGCAAAUUCUCUCAAAUAUUCAGAGAAGCGAUAAUACCUACUCUUCUGAAACUCUUCCCAAAAAAGAGGAAGGAGUAAUCCCAAGGGCAUUCUAUAAGGCCACCAUCACCCUGAUACCCAAACCAGAACAAUGUACCACACAAAAGACAAUUACAAUUCACUAUCACUGAUAACCACAGAUGCAAAAAUCCUCAACAAAAUAAUAGCAAACUACAUCCACAUACAUUUCAAGGAUUAUACGGCAUGACUGAGUGUGAUAUAUCAAGGAGUCUUCAAUAGCCACAAAUCAGUAUGACACACCACAUCAACAACCUGAAAAAUGAACACAGUAUGAGCCUCUCAAUACAUGCAGAAAAAAGCUUGACAAAAUCCAACACUCAUUUCUGAUAAAAAGGCUCCAGGAAGUGGGCAUAUAUGGAUCCUAAUGCACCAUAAUAAAACACCCAUAUGACGAAGCCAAGGCGAACAUCACUCUCAAUGGUGGAAUACUGAAAGCCUUUCCACUAAGAUCAGGAAGAAGACAAGGUUGUCCACUUUCACUACUACUGUUCAACAUAGUUUUGGGAUGUCCUACAAUAGCAAUCAGAGAAGAAAAAGAAAUAUAAGGAAUCCAAAUUGAAAAAGAAGUGAAACUAGCAUGGUUUCCAGAUGACAAACUAUACCUAGAAAAUCCUAAAGACAUGACCAGAAAACUGUCAGAACUCACCAAUGAAUUUGGCAACGUUGCAACAUACAAUGUUUUCUUAUGUCAUACUUCCAAGGAAAGAGAAAUAAAAACAUCAACAGCAAAAAUGAGACCUAAUCAAACUUACAAGCCUUUGCAGAACAAAGCAAACCAUUUGAAAAAGGAUCAACAUUUGCUAGUCUUCUCUUGAGGAAACAGAGGAGGGGAAGGGUAUCUCUUUGAUAAAUGUUGAUAACAUUGAAUUUUUGCCAUAUCUUAUAAAACUACACAUCAUCAUUGAGGUCAGUAGGGAAAUGUAAAAGCUCAACAUGACUUUUUUGUUGUUGUUGUUGUUGCUGUUGUUACUAUCUCUUGGGCCACUCCCACGGCAUAUGGAGGUUGUGAUACAUAGGAAGUGACUGCCUACAUAUGAGGAAAAAUUAAAAUGAGCUGCCUGAUUCAAACCUGGAAAGCUGGAGGUCAGGACAAGAUGGUGGAGAAGCAGGACAUGGAACACACUUUCUCUGGCAAAUGGAUCAAAAAUACAUCCACAAUGAUCUCCACAGUGAUCACAGAACAUCUAUGGAAUGCUGUCAGAAGAUCUCUGACUUCCACAAGGGAAAGAAAAUCUCCAAAGACCUGGCUAUGAAAAAAGAAAAAGAGAGACACAGAAAAGACUCAGGAUGGCGGUAGCACCUCCACUGGGGAGAGCUGUGAAAGAUGAAAUGUUUUUGCACACAGGCAAAGCCCCUCACUGGAAGAGACCACCUGGGACAGAGAAGGAGUUUGGAGUCUCAGGAGAUUUAGCAACUGUUUACAGAGGGCAAACUGGAGGAAGACCUGUAGGGAUCCUUGAUACUCCUGCCCAGCACACCACAGCCAGAUAUGCUGAGCCUCUGAGGUGAGCCACAGAAGGGUGCUGAGACUCAGGCUGCCAAGGUCAAAUCCAGAGAGAAGACUGGGGUUGGUUGUGAGGAGACAAACUGAGACAGCUAGGGUAGAAUGCACCAUAAUCAAGGAUGGUCAGGAAAAAUCCUGGGCACACCAGUGAGGCCUGGCACAUUUGAUGGAUUGGACCCCUGGCCUGGGAACCCCCACAUGUCACCAGUGUGGCCAUAAAAUCCAAAGCAUAAACAAAAUAAAAAAAAACAAAACAAAAAAUCAUGGGAAGAACAAAAUAAGAAACUACAAAUAGACACACUCAUAUGAAAAAGCAAUUCAAAUACAACACUAAAAAGUCAGCAAAUCACAAGAGAAAGGAACAAGAGAAGAAAAAGAGACCAAAAAAAACAUAUCCAAAAUAAUUUAUAAAAUGGAAAUAAUACAUACACAUCGAUAUUCUCCUGAAUGCAAAUGGAUGAAAUGUUCCAACCAAAAGAUAUAGACUGGCUGAAUGGAUACAAAACCAGACCCAUCUAUGUGCUAUCACAAGAGACCAACUUCUGAAUUAGGGAUGCCUGCGGACUGAAAAUGAAGGAAUGAAAGAAGACAUUCUAUGCAAAGGAAAACCAAAAGAAAGCAGGAGGAGCAAAAAAGACUUAAAAAUUAAGAAUAUUACGAGGGACUAGAAGGACACUAUCCAAUGAUCAAGGGACAAAUCUAUAUAUGCAACCAACACAGAGGCACUGCAACAUAUAAGGUAAAUGUCCACAUUCAUAAAAUGAGAAAUCAAAAAUAACACAAUAGUGGGGGACUUCAGUGCCCCUCUUUCAGCAAUGGACAGAUCAUCCAGACAGAAGAGUCAAGAAACACAUGCAUUACAUGAUACCAUACACAAUAUAGUCUUAGUUUACACCUAUAGAACAUUUCAUCUGGGAGUUCCCGUCAUGGCACAGUGGCUAACGAAUCCGACUAGGAACCAUGAGGUUGCAGGUUCAAUCCCUGGCCUUGCUCAGUGGGUUAAUGAUCUCGCAUUGCCGUGAGCUGUGGUGUAGGUCGCAGAUGCGGCUCGGAUCCUGCGUUGCUGUGGCUCUGGCGUAGGCCGGUGGCUACGGCUCCAAUUUGACCCCUAGCCUGAGAACCUCCAUAUGCCGCUGGAGCGGCACAAGCAAUGGCAAAAACACACACACACAAAAAAAGAACGUUUCAUCUGAAAGCACAUGAAUACACUUUCUUCUCAGGUGCCCAGAAAAAAAUGUCCAGGAGAAUUCAUACCUUGGGCUACAAAUAAAGCCGCAGGAAAAUUCAAGAAAAUGGAAAUCAUAUCAAACAUUUUAUUUCACCACUACGUGAUGAGACAAGAAAUCAACUACAAGAGAGAGACUGCAACAAACAAACAAACAAACAAACAAAAUGUAACACAACUGAAACAUGU
rnacentral:lncRNA from 1 species